UUUCCUGUGGCGACACGUGACUUACGUCAAAUCGACGAACUAAUUUCGCAAAUGGGAGCAGGUGAAAACACGAUUAUUUGAACAAAUCAAGAGCACGUACAGCAACUUACGAAAGUAUUCGAACACUUGUAGAAAUCUUUUACCACUAUAUUCUGUGUGUUAUACGAAACAUCUUGAAAUUUCAGUAACAGUGUAAUGAGACCGGUUAUCACGGUUAUAUUGGUACAGCCUGAAAUAAAUCUGAAAAUGUGCAUGGAAGCCACAACGUAUUUAAUCAGUUUCAGAUUUAACAAAUAUAAUGAAGAUAAUCAUGUCUCAUUAGAGCAAUAACGAAAUUUCGAAAUGUUUUAUAUAACACCUAUAAUGUAUACAUAAAAAUUGGUUAUAUUUCACAACGUUCCGCGUAAAAGAUGAAUUACGAUAGCAACUGCAAAUGACGAGUAGCUGCAAUGCAUUGACAAGUACUCGGAGAUGCAAAUUAACAUCUACUCGUUAAUGAAAAUUUCGCAUAGCUGUUCAUAUACGAUGAGAUUAUUUCGCGUUUUCAACAACAGAGAUCAAAAAUGAGGAUGGGAGAAAUAUUUUGGAAGUAUGGAUUUUGAAUUAUAAACGUACAAUAUAAUAUAAGAAUAAAACUUUUAAUCAAUCAAAUGUAGGUAUUUAUAAAAAUCACAAUCAAUCAAGAGAAGAUCACGACGACAGUGCUCCGAUCUUAAACGUUUUCUAAACAAAAUAAAUAUUUUUUGACGAAUCUACGUAUCUGCAUUGCAUACCCUUACAAGAUUACUGUCUCGUUUACACCUUAAUCAGUCAAGCUUAUCGAAUGUCUCUUUAAAUUUAUAAAUGGCGCAAUUUAUAUUUGCAGGUACAACAAAACAAUGAAUUAAAUGAGCUCAAAUCAAUAAUGAAGUACAUUUGCACAUACUUUAGACAUUUGUUUUAUUAGAACAAAUAUAAGGUCCAUAAAUUACCACAUUGAAAACAUUCUUGAAAAUCAUCAGUAUAUGUCUGGAAAGCUACAAAUUACUCUCUAAUUAGAAAACGCUGCAAAAAGAACUCUGACUGUAAUUUAAAAUUCUUUUGAUUCUAUUUGAAAUCUUACGUAUCUGUCUCACGAAACUAAUGCGAGUAAAUUGCACUUCAUAAUCACACGAUCGUACGCCUAGAUGCCUACCAUCGGAUAAUCAGGGCAUAUCAAGGUUGAUCCAAUAGAUCCCCAUUGGCGUACAUGCGGGUUGUAUUAUAAAGAUCUCACUUAUGAAGAUUCUGCAUCAUCGGUCCUACGCUUGUGAUCGGCGAGGGCUGAUAUCCAGGCUAAUGUCAGUGAAAUUAAGAUCAUUGCUGAUGCAAGUCUGCACCUUCAAGUGUCCUCGAAAUAUUUAAUCGCCUAUAUUAUUUCCAAAUUUCACUAGUUAUCUCUCUUUUAACGUAAUUUGCAUUAAAUAACAAAUAUUUAGAUAGUUCCAUUGAAAAGUAUCUAAUCAAAUAUCGCAAAAUACAUCCCCGACAGUAUUUUUUAAAUAACAAAUUUUUCGCAAAAAA